GAGGGUAUAGCUCAGUGGUAGAGCACCCUAGCGUGCAUGAGAUCCUGGGUUCAAUUCCCAGUGCCUUGA
rnacentral:tRNA from 1 species